UGUGGGAGGGAGCGCACACGCCGCGGCCCCUCGUUCGCGGCGACCUUCACGCACACCGCCUGCCCACGCUUUUUUAACUUCUUCUAUGAGUGGCUCCGUUUUGCUCAAUUUUGAAGGCAGACCAAUGUUUUGUUUUUGACUUUAGCGGACUGAUGAAAAGCAACUUGAGUUUGUUUUGCCUCCACAACGGAACAGUACAACACUAGUGAUUUAUUAGGUGAAGAAACUUGUGCCUGGACGUACCUCGGUGCCUGGAAAGAGAGAGAGAGAAAGGAAAAAAAGAAAGAAAAA